rnacentral:rRNA from 1 species
CGUCUAUAUACGUAUAGCAUAUCAAUAAGCGGAGGAAAAGAAACUAACUAGGAUUCCCUCAGUAACGGCGAGUGAAGCGGGAAGAGCUCAAAUUUGAAAUCUUCAAGGUUCUACCUUGACGAAUUGUAGUUUAAAGAAGUGUUUUCUGUUGGAGUUUUUUGGUAAAAGUUCUUUGGAAUAGGACAUCAUAGAGGGUGAGAAUCCCGUAUUUGACCAUUACUUUCCAACUUUGUGAUACACUUUCAAAGAGUCGGAUUGUUUGGGAAUGCAGUCCAAAAUGGGUGGUAAAUUUCAUCUAAAGCUAAAUACUGGCGAGAGACCGAUAGCGAACAAGUACCGUGAGGGAAAGAUGAAAAGAACUUUGAAAAGAGAGUUAAACAGUACGUGAAAUUGUCAAAAGGGAAGCGUUUGACACCAGUGUUGUUUUCUCGAAAAUCAAUUAAAAAUGGCGGGAUUUUGUGUUGUAUUGACUUUAUCAGCUUUCUGCACUUUUUUCUUGUCUUUUUUAAUGCACUUUUCGUUUAACAAGUCAACAUCAAUUUCUUUUGUUGUAAAAGGGUCAUUGGAAGGUGGCUUUCACUUUCGGUGAAAGUGUUUAUAGCCUUUGACUUCUGCAAUCGGAGAGAUUGAGGUCUGCAGCGUAGAUCCUUCGGGGUUAGAUACAUUUGUGCUAAGUUAUAGCCUUUUCAUAGACAACAUUGUUGACUAUGAUCAGUCAUGUAGCUUACUCGCUUAUGCUAUUUUACCUACGCUUAGGAUGUUGAUCUGUAGUGCGUGCGC